UGAAGAGUCAUCGUUCAACAAUAAUAUUGGGGCGGUAGGAAAUGGCAGCACCAACUGUGCUCGACACAGACCUGUCAACCUGUGACAAAAAGGUCUUCACACUGGGGCAGUCCCACAUCAUGUGACCAGGAGGUCUUCACACUGGGGCAGUCGCACAUCAUGUGACCAGGAGGUCUUCACACUGGGGCAGUCCCACAUCAUGUGACCAGGAGGUCUUCACACUGGGGCAGUCCCACAUCAUGUGACCAGGAGGUCUUCACACUGGGGCAGUCCCACAUCAUGUGACCAGGAGGUCUUCACACUGGGGCAGUCCCACAUCAUGUGACCAGGAGGUCUUCACACUGGGGCAGUCCCACAUCAUGUGACCAGGAGGUCUUCACACUGGGGCAGUCCCACAUCAUGUGACCAGGAGGUCUUCACACUGGGGCAGUCCCACAUCAUGUGACCAGGAGGUCUUCACACUGGGGCAGUCCCACAUCAUGUGACCAGGAGGUCUUCACACUGGGGCAGUCCCACAUCAUGUGACCAGGAGGUCUUCACACUGGGGCAGUCCCACAUCAUGUGACCAGGAGGUCUUCACACUGGGGCAGUCCCACAUCAUGUGACCAGGAGGUCUUCACACUGGGGCAGUCCCACAUCAUGUGACCAGGAGGUCUUCACACUGGGGCAGUCCCACAUCAUGUGACCAGGAGGUCUUCACACUGGGGCAGUCCCACAUCAUGUGACCAGGAGGUCUUCACACUGGGGCAGUCCCACAUCAUGUGACCAGGAGGUCUUCACACUGGGGCAGUCCCACAUCAUGUGACCAGGAGGUCUUCACACUGGGGCAGUCCCACAUCAUGUGACCAGGAGGUCUUCACACUGGGGCAGUCCCACAUCAUGUGACCAGGAGGUCUUCACACUGGGGCAGUCCCACAUCAU